AAAAUUUUAUCGAUUUUACUAUAAAAAAUCGAUAUGAAGUAUAUAAAGAAACUAUUAUGGAUGAAUUGCUAUGUAUCAUAAAGAAAUAUUAUAAAUCAACCAAUCGGGUUGAUAAAAACAUUGUUAAUUUAUUUUAACAACUGUAAAUCUAGGAUAAAUCCAACUUUUUAACGAAGUGAAUUGAAAUAUCUUAUUAACUUCAGGAAAAGAAAUCAAAUGAGAUUAUUUUUCACUUAAAAAAUGAAAGAUAAAAGUCUUUAAAGUAAAAUGGAAAUAAUCUGUUUGAAUAUAGGGAAACCUUUCUCUAAGACUAAAUAAUGAUAUAGCAUACAUGAUAAGCAACAGAACAUUAGUACCGUAAGGGAAAUAUCUGAAAUAGUAGUUUUAUAAGCAGCUCAAAUUUAAAUUAAAAAAUGAACGAGAGCGUACCUUUUGCAUAAUGGGUCAGCAAGUUAAUAUUAGAUGCGAGAUUACUUUUUUCUUUUUAAGAAAAACUUUAUCCCAGAUAAACCAAUUAUUAAAUAAUGAAUAAGUAUCUAGUAUUAGACCCGAAGCCUAGUGAUCUUACCAUGAUCAGGGUUAUAAAAGCUCGAACAGGUUAUCGUUGUAAAGAUAUCUGAUGAAUUGUGGUAAGUUAGUGAAAGACAAAACUGACUAGGAUAGCUGGUUUUCCGCGAAACCUAUAUAAGUAGGUAGUUUAAAAGUUAUCAUUGCAGGUACAGAAUUGUGAUCUCAGACAAAUUUUGAUUUAAAGCAUUGUUUAAUAAACAUGCAAAAUCUGUUUGUAUACAUUGGGGGAUCGUGAAGAUUUUAUCAGUGAGGAUUUGCUCUCGGAAGGGCAACGAUGAAUAUUAAACUGUCGGACAUAGUACGAUAAGGUUGUAUGUCUAAAGGGAAACAGCCCAGAACAAGAGUUAAAGGUUCCAAAAUUAUUGUUAAGUGAAAUUAAGGUAGUUUUUUUCAAAUACAACCAGGAAAUAGGCUUAGAAGCGGCCAUUUUUUAAAGACCUCGUAACAGAGCACUGGUUUAUUAUAAAAGUUAAACGCACCGAAAAUAUAACGGAUCUAAAACAGUAUACCGAAACCUUGUACAUAAUUAAAACUAAGAUAAUGAGUUAUUUUAUUGCAAAAUAAAGUAAUGUUAAUAUAAAUAUAUAUUGAGACAACUCUAUUGCUAUUGUUAAAAUCAUUAACAGUUAUAUUUAUGGGGUAGCGGAACGUUGGGUUAAUUCUUAGAAUUUAUAUCCUUGAUAUAAAUUAUCUUUAUAGUGAAUAAUAAAUAAUGGUAAAAUCGUUAAAAAGAGACUAUCCCAAGUGAUAAUGCUGACAUGAGUAACGAAAAAGGGUAACCCCCUCGCCUUAAGCUUAUGGUAUUUGCACACCAGUUAAAGUAACGGACCGUACCUAGACACUACCACAAGUAAGCAAGUAGAGAAUACAAAGGCGUUUGAGAUAACAAUCAUUAAGGAACUCGGCAAAUUGACUCCGUAACUUCGGGAUAAGGUGUGCCAUUAUUAUUAAGUAAUAAGAGGAGACAUAAAAUGGUGUUGUACGACUGUUUAAUUAAAACAAAGCACUUUGCAUAAGAUAAUAAAUCAAAGUAUUGAGUGUGAUUUCUGCCCAAUGUUGGCUGGUUAACGAAUUUUCUUAGUCAAAUAACACUAGGCUAGGUUUUGAAGGAACCCCCAAUCAAUGGCGGCCUUACCGAUGAGGGUCCUAAGGUAGCGGAAUACCCUGGCCGUUAAAUGCGGUCUUGCAUGAAUGAUUUAACGAUACAACAGCUGUCUCAAUGAUUGUCUCAGUGAAAUUGGAAUAACUGUGCAGAUACAGUUUUCUUCUAGUUAGACGAGAAGACCCUAUGCAGCUUUACUGUUGCUAGUUAUUGAAUAUAAUAAGACAAGUUGUAGUAUAUAAGGUUAUUGAUAAAAUAGAAGUGAAAUACCUUUACUUAGUCUAUUAUAUUGUUGAAAAGUAAUAUAUUUUAAUAUUCAAACGCUUAUCUUAAAGAUAAAUAGUUUUGUAGUUAUCUUAUAAUCUAGUAAGAAUAAUAUUGCAUUUAUUUAGGAAACAUUAGCUAGUGGACAGUUUAUGCGGGGCACAGAUCCCAUAAAAAGUACCUGGGUGUAUCCAAAGUUAAAAUUGUAAAUUCAUUAAAAUUUCUUAAUGAUUUUGUCUUGUUUUUAUUGUGUUUACAACCAUUAAAAAUAAGACACUAUUUUUACUUUGUAAUAGAUUAUUUUAUGAUUUAUUCACUUAUAUUUCUAUUAAGUUAGAUUAAUUAUAUUUUUUUUAGUAAGGUUUUAACUAUAUGGAAAAUAGAUGUUUAACUUGUCUUUAUUAUCAAUUAAAGAUAAAAAGAUGAUUUUUAAUAUUUACUGUUAAAGUUUAAUGGCUUAACCUUGCUUUACUGUUUGACUUACAUGUCUAUCAGUCGCGUAAGCGGGGCAUACGAUCACAAGAUGCAGAAAGGAAAGGUCUUGGAUUUUUGAAAAAAGCUACGCUAGGGAUAACAGGCUAAUUGCGCCAGAGAGUACAAAUUGAGUGCGCAGUUUGGCACCUCGAUGUCGGCUUAGCUCAUCCACAUGAAUGCAGGAAUCAUGAAGGGUACGACUGUUCGUCGGUUAAAGAGCUACACGAGCUGGGUUAAAUACGUCGUGAGACAGUAUGGUUUCUAUCUUCUAGAAGUAAUUAGAGUAAAACAAGGAUAGCCCCUUCGUACGAAAGGAGUUGGGUAUGGUAACCUCUGGUUUAUUUGUUGUUUACGGUAAUUAAGGCCUGAUAAUAGAUUCCGGGGAUGUGCUCGUUGAAGGCCUCUAAGAGUACCGCAGGUUCCCAUCAUAUAUUCACUAUUUAUAAUUAUAUGGAAAAUAGGCACAGCAAUAAAGCUACGUUAGUCAUAAAUAAGUGCUGAAUGCAUAUAGGCACGAAGUUUGUCUUGAGAUACUCUUAAAUAUACGUAAUAUAAUAUUACGAAUCGUAAACUUGCGAUUGUAUAGGUUUUGGUUUAAAGGAUUUUAAUUUCUUCA
rnacentral:rRNA from 1 species